ensembl:lncRNA novel transcript
AACAAUGAAGGCAGAGAAGCCAGUGGCUGCUUUGACAUGAGGCUUCCCGUGUGGGAGGUGAACCAGAAGCCAAGCCUGGACGGAGACUGUGCCAUCAAGAGGCUCUGUCACGAGAUGCCAAGAUGAGCACGCGUCUCCAAAACAACACAAUCUCAACAUGCAAAAUGAUCACCAAGCAAGAGGAAACAGAGUGAGCCCUAGAGGUGAGGAAGUUGCCUGAAUUCCAUCUGUGUGCCCACAUACACAAAGCUCUGUUACACAAAGGAGCUACUCCAGCGACUA